UGGGCCUUUCUUCCUUAUUUCCUGAUAACCCCCUGCAGAAAUAGAUAAACAACAAAACUCGUGGAAUUCUGUCAGAUCAAACCCUAAUUUUAGGUGUGAGUUGCAUAUUGGUCCUUUCUCUUGUUUAUUUGAUAAUUAAAAUUGAUACUUAAGAACCGUCAACAAAUACCCCCAUACUUAGGCUUUUACUCGUCCUCGAGAAAAGGAUGGUUAAGAACAAUAUCUGGGGUAAACAUUUAAAACAUUCUCUCUUUAUAUAAUUGCAGGGUGUUAAAAUUCCACUGUGUACCAUAGUCAGGAAGUAUAUGGUUAAGAGUUAAGAUCCUUUCUUCUCAAUCCUGUCACUUGGAGUUUUUGUAUAUUUUUGAAAGAAAGUUAGCAUACCUUUUUAUCCUCAUAGGUUCUCUCAGAUCACUCAUUAUCUUUUAUAUAUAUAUAUAUAUAUCUCACUAAGGCUGUUUUAAUUUUGCAAAAAUUCUCAAGCAUACUUACUUUGCAUUUAUUGCCUGAUCAGAACGGGAUCUGAGGAGGGAAAUGUCAUACUCUUAGAUCGAAGAGUUUGGAAAUUAAAAUCUUUGUCAACUCUUGCUGGCAUAUUGCUUAUUAGAGGGACCAUGGGCUAUCAUUUUUUUUUCUCUCUCUUUUUUUAAGUGGAUACCGAGGUACCCCUAAUUCUACUGCCGGACACUUGUCCAUUUUUUCUGCGAGGUUGUCGAGCACUUGCUCCUUUUUAUUUCCUCGAAAUAUUUCUAUUUUUGCAUAGCCCAUGCCUCUAAUGCAAUAAUACUUCGGAAGAGUGAAUCUUACUGAAAUAAAUGUCUUGAUCUUGGGAGCAUGAUAAAUCUCUCAACAAGGGUCUAACUCAUUUUGAACAAACUCGAUACAGAGUAGAUAGCUUUAUAAUCAUAAUUUAUAUUUUCAGUUUUAUCAGGCAUAUAAAACACUGAGGAUGGUAGCUAGAAUUUUGAAUAUUUUGAAAUAAAUUCUCCAAGCAACAAUGAUAUCAAGAAUAAGAAACUCAUACUCUACCAUCACAUAUUCCAUAAUGACUUAAGUAACAUAGGGUUUUAAAAUGAUUUUAUAAUAAUUGCAAGUUUUCAGGAA
rnacentral:lncRNA from 1 species